GUGAUUAGAGAUUUGAAUGAGAUGACUCUGGACAGAAAAAAAUUAUUAAAAAUAUACAACGGAUAGACAGCUGUUAUUAGAGGAUUUUAAUUAUUAAAGAAGAAAUACUGGGAGUGAAUGGGACCCUGAAACUGGCUGAUGGAAAGAACUCGAUCAGCACAGCUGUGAAUAUAAAGGAUGCGACAAAGUCUACCAACAAAAGGGGAAACUGACUUUGAAUAUGAAAAUUCAACAUAGCUUUAUCGACAUCAUCGUCGGAAACCCACGGUUAAUGGAGAGAGGAACGAAGCGUAAUCAACCGUGGGUUUCCGACAAUGCAUUGACAUCGGUCACUUACUUGUUUUGCUUUUGUUGUUUUUGUUUGGUAUUUAACAUUAAAGAGAGAUUACUUGA